rnacentral:rRNA from 1 species
GUAACACGUGGGAACGUGCCUUUUGGUUCGGAAUAACUCAGGGAAACUUGUGCUAAUACCGAAUGUGCCCUUCGGGGGAAAGAUUUAUCGCCAUUAGAGCGGCCCGCGUCUGAUUAGCUAGUUGGUGAGGUAAAGGCUCACCAAGGCGACGAUCAGUAGCUGGUCUGAGAGGAUGAUCAGCCACAUUGGGACUGAGACACGGCCCAAACUCCUACGGGAGGCAGCAGUGGGGAAUCUUGCGCAAUGGGCGAAAGCCUGACGCAGCCAUGCCGCGUGAAUGAUGAAGGUCUUAGGAUUGUAAAAUUCUUUCACCGGGGACGAUAAUGACGGUACCCGGAGAAGAAGCCCCGGCUAACUUCGUGCCAGCAGCCGCGGUAAUACGAAGGGGGCUAGCGUUGCUCGGAAUUACUGGGCGUAAAGGGAGCGUAGGCGGACAUUUAAGUCAGGGGUGAAAUCCCGGGGCUCAACCUCGGAAUUGCCUUUGAUACUGGGUGUCUUGAGUAUGAGAGAGGUAUGUGGAACUCCGAGUGUAGAGGUGAAAUUCGUAGAUAUUCGGAAGAACACCAGUGGCGAAGGCGACAUACUGGCUCAUUACUGACGCUGAGGCU